rnacentral:tRNA from 1 species
GCGCCCGUAGCUCAGUUGGUAGAGCAGUUGCCUCUUAAGCAAACGGUCCCUGGUUCGAAUCCAGGCGGGCGCA